rnacentral:rRNA from 1 species
CAGUCGCCACGGUAAAACAGAGGGUGCAAGCGUUAAUCGGAAUUACUGGGCGUAAAGCGCGCGUAGGUGGUUUGUUAAGUUGGAUGUGAAAUCCCCGGGCUCAACCUGGGAACUGCAUCCAAAACUGGCAAGCUAGAGUAUGGUAGAGGGUGGUGGAAUUUCCUGUGUAGCGGUGAAAUGCGUAGAUAUAGGAAGGAACACCAGUGGCGAAGGCGACCACCUGGACUGAUACUGACACUGAGGUGCGAAAGCGUGGGGAGCAAACAGGAUUAGAUACCCCAGUAGUCCCUGUCUCUUAUAC